rnacentral:lncRNA from 1 species
GCAUGUAUGUGCAUGUGUGCAUGUGUAUUUGUAUGUAUGUGUAUGUGUGCAUGUGUGUAUGUGCAUGUGUGUGUAUGUGUGUGCAUGUGUGUAUGUGCAUGUGUGCAUGUGUAUUUGUGUGUAUGUAUGUGUAUGUGUGCAUGUGUGUAUGUGCAUGUGUGUGUAUGUGUGUGCAUGUGUAUGUGUGCAUGUGUGCAUGUGUGUAUGCAUGUGUGU